rnacentral:tRNA from 10 species
AGUAAAGUCAGCUAAUU